UCUUAUGGAUGAGCAAACAAGUGGUUUCUUGAGAUGGAAUUUGUUCCUGGUGAAGAUACUGUGAA
rnacentral:pre_miRNA from 1 species